rnacentral:rRNA from 1 species
UACGUAGGGUGCGAGCGUUGUCCGGAAUCACUGGGCGUAAAGGGCGCGUAGGUGGCCUGGUAAGUAGGGGGUGAAAUCUCGCGGCUCAACUGCGAGGCUGCCUCCUAAACUGUCAGGCUCGAGCAGAGUAGAGGCAGGUGGAAUUCCCGGUGUAGCGGUGGAAUGCGUAGAGAUCGGGAAGAACAUCGGUGGCGAAGGCGGCCUGCUGGGCUCUUGCUGACACUGAGGCGCGACAGCGUGGGGAGCAAACAGG